CGGAGGGUGCAAGCGUUAUCCGGAUUCACUGGGUUUAAAGGGUGCGUAGGUGGGCAAGUAAGUCAGUGGUGAAAUCUCCGGGCUUAACCCGGAAACUGCCAUUGAUACUAUUUGUCUUGAAUACUGUGGAGGUCAGCGGAAUAUGUCAUGUAGCGGUGAAAUGCUUAGAUAUGACAUAGAACACCAAUUGCGAAGGCAGCUGGCUACACAAAUAUUGACACUGAGGCACGAAAGCGUGGGGAUCAAACAGGAUUAGAUACCCUGGUAGUCCACGCCCUAAACUAUGGAUACUCGACAUUUGCGAUAAACCGCAAGUGUCUGAGCGAAAGACAUUAAGUAUCCCACCUGGGAAGUACGAUCGCAAGAUU
rnacentral:rRNA from 1 species